GCCUUGGUGUAUGCUAUGAUGAUAAGGUGGUGAUGUGUCCAAAAGUGUCCGAAGGUCGGGUGUCGAUGUAUUAUCACUGAUGUAGGUUGAGAUGUGAUUGAUGUCACAAGAGCUUGGUCGAAUAUUAACUUUCAACAACUCUUUUCAAACUCACCAGUCACAAGCCACGGUUUACUGAAUACAUCUUUUUGGAAAAUCCUUUUUAGAUUUUCGUACAAGGAACAUGGUUUGUUUGACAAGGGAUUUUCUUUUGAAGCAAUUUGGGGUGACAAAAAGGUCUUUUUGUUAGGUAGCUUAUCAAUAAAAAUGUUUUAUUAAUGACGUAACUGGAACGAAUACUAACGAAUUUAAAUAGAAUCGACGACCAAAUGGAAUAUAUCUUCUUUUCAAUUUUCAUAAAUCGAAAGCCCUAUGGAUACGUAUAAAUGUUUCUUUUACUCGUAGUAAAUUAUUAUUAUUCUAUUAUACGUGUGUAUACUACAGAAGGACCAUACUAAUAGGCACCAACAGCUUUCAUCUAACAUAAUAUUUUCAUGGAAUCUUAUAAUCAUUUUCGCCUCAUUGUCUCCGAAUAAGUCGUAUUUAACAACAUUUCGAAUUUCGAUUUGUUGAAAAAGCCGCUCAAUUUGAUGCACAAAUUUGACUUCGCAAAUCGCCUUUUUGUAUUCCCCGUACUGGCGAGAACGAAGAUAAAUGUUCGGCACUGAGCUACUGCUCAGUUGCUACGAGUUAAUCCUCAUUUUGCUUCAAGUAAAUGAAACGCUCUAAUCUGUAAGACGUCCAUAAGAUUCGGUUGACGGUGGCUGUUUCGUGUUAAUCGGUGUCUCAAUUCUCUAAUUUAAUUAUUGUGCUCGAUUUAAUGACAUGGCGAUCUGGUCCAAAAAAAAAAAAAAAAGUGACUCCUUUUUUUGCUUUGAUAUAACAUUUUUACUUUUACGUAUGAAAUAUGGCGAAGAAGUAGUGACCUCUCUUUUAUCGAUGUAAUCAUAUUAGGGGAACGCAGUAAAUGGCUUCUGCAAUAUCAUGGAACUAUUCGUAUCCCUCGAUUAAUCAAGUUCCCCUAGGUCAGUGGUUCUCAAUUCUUGAAGCGUUUAUCGAUUAAAAAAUAGUUCUAAAUCUUCUUCGAUUUUCUCCAAAGAAUUUUCAAAUUGAAUAUUUAAGACAACAUUUAAUGAAUUCAAAUUGAAACGCCUUAUUUUAUCACGUAAACGAUAAUUAGGAAAGAGAAAGAAUUCGUAUUCUAUAUAGAAUAUAUAUUCCAUGCAAAGUGUUCCAACAAUUUUUAAACCUUUACAAAUUUUCCAUAACAUACUAAAGGAAUGUCAGUAAUUUGUCAUCUCAGUAUGCCAAUUUCCUUAAAUUAUGCCAAUUGCCAAUGUAUGCCAAUUUGUAUAAAAUUUAAAUCCACCUUUUAUUGGUAAUCUAAAAAUCAUUACUUUCUUCAAUAAUAUAGGAAAUAAUACCUUAAAAAUUGCUCAAGAAAUACGCAAAAUGCGUCGAAGGUAACCGAGCCAAAAAGAUAAUAAAUAAAUAAAUGUAAAAUAAAUGAAUUUAAUAGUUAACACGUGGGUACUUGUUGAAAUUUGCACCAUUUGACGCGAGCAAACCGUUCGAAAGGAAAACACGUUCAGCCGCCAAAGCUGUGGAAUUGAGAUCACUUAAUUCCGUUUGAAUCCAUCCAUUCUCGUUUAAUGGCCUAUUUGUUUUCAAUAUCAUAUCAUUUCCAAACAUAUCGUUCCUGAAAGGCGAAACAAAAUGGCAAAACAAAUGUACAAAGGUGUAUAUCAACGUAAGUGUACCAGUAUGUCUAUAUUCGAGAUUAUUUAUCUAUUCAAGAUAGCAAAGUAAAAAUACCAUAUAGAGGAUUUAAUUAACGUGUAUAUCUACGUAUAUAUCAUUAUAUGUAACAGUAACAUUAUGUGCAUAUGCGUAUAAUAUUGGUUAAAUGUUAAAUGUUAAUAUUGGUUAAAUGCGUUAAAGUGAAAUGUUAUUUACCUAUUCAAGAUAGCAAAGUAAACAUACCAUAUAGAGGAUUUACUACUGUUAACACUCGGUAUUCUCGUAUUCAAAGUAUUUAACCAAAUAAUUUGGGAAUCCAGCGGACGAGCUUGUAUUUAAUAUGAUUAUAUUUAAUAUAACAACUUUACUCAAUAUACGCGUAGGAUUUUAAAUGUCAUGAGGGUUGCAGCGGACUCAAUUUUAAUGUACCUCGAUAUCUUAGCUUCUUAUAAUAUCCUAAUAAAAUGUUAUUUAUCGAUUACAAUUGUCCUGUCGUAUUUUAUAGUGUUUGCUUUAUAAAUGUGAACUUUAUUCAAAAAGAGUUCAUCGAUGAUUAUCCAUUACAGGUUGUUAAUAAACCUGAAUUAUGCACAAAGGAAUUGCCGUUAAUAACUUAAGAUUCUCUGCCCGUCGUACAGGGUACAUAUAGUAAUUAUUCUCGACGAUCGUAACGUUUAAGUCCAAUUCGAGCUUAUAGUCCCAUGCGAGUUAAACAACGACAAUAGUUUGAAUUUCUAUUUGUUCGUUUGUCGUCUGUUUAUACCCGGAGCACCUGCUGUAAACCAAUACAAAAUUUAUUAGAUCUAUAAAUAACACAUAUAAAACUUAUUAAUUUAUAAUUAAUAUAAAAUAGGAGAGCACGAAACUUCCUAUUUUAUGGAUAUGUUAAAUCUUUGUAAAAAAUACCAUAUCAUUAGUAUCAUUUUAAUCGUUCUAAAGGAUUUAGCCGCAUAAAGCUGUGACCCUUGGAAGAAUCGAUGUUCACGCGUGACAAAUUGAAAUUGUGCGAAGGUUCCGGUACGAACAUCACAAGCCGAACAUCGAUACCAGGGGCACAGGCACAUGUUCUGGGUUCAUUAUAUAUUUAUAAAGGGCUGACGAUUCAGUGGAUGGUCCGGGUAAAUUUAAAUUGUAAAUGAACGCAUUGCUGGUUUCAAGUAAAAGCCUGGAUAAGAGCGGAUAUGGUAUGAGAGUCUGUCGUGGAAAGGGGAACAGGCCGCUUUUAUUUGUAAAGUUUGAAUCUCCUCGAUAUUGAAGAUGUUGAAGCUGCAAGUAUGUAUUUCAUUUUAAUCCAUUCGAGACCGAGAUUUAAUUGUAAAACGAUACCUAGGUGUCGGUACGAUCUGAAUGUUUAGUUAGAAUGAUUCUGUGUUUUACUCUCUCCAGGGUAUCCUUUUCAUACUUUGAUUUUAAAUCGAUGACAAUCUUAAAUAGUAUGCCUCAUAUUUUUAAAAUAUAAAAUUAUAUACUAUGUUAUUCUAUAAUGUAUUAUGUACAGUUAAAUAUAUAUAUAUAAUAAUUCUAUAUUGAAAAAAAUAUGAAAUUAACAUGAUAUAUACAUUACUACGUAAGUUAUAUAUAAAAUAUGUAUAUUAUACCCUUGCCUACUGACUGAUAUGAAUUUCUUUCGGUCUCGAAUGCGUUAAAAGAGAGCGCAAAGAAGGCGAAAUUACUUAUUGUAAUUAGUAAAUCGACCUGAGAGGCAGACAGAUACAAGAAAGAAGGAAUAUUAUAUUAGCGGCAUUAUCAUGUUUUUGCUCUCUUUAAGUCUUUCAUCGAGACAGACAAUCUACAGGUAUUAAUCGACCAAUUUCUCCAAGCUGAUAACUUCGAAUUGAUGUUUAUAUAUAAGAAGUGUUAUGUGUUAAUCUGUCUAAAUGUUUAAAAGGUGUUAUAAAUUAAAUGUUGUUAAACGAUACGUAAUUGCCUUUUGAUCGUAAAUUUUACUAUCAAGGGGUCUUUUAUGUAUGCGUAAUCAUUGUGAAUUAUAACAAUUUAUGUGAUCGAUAUUAAAGGUGUUUAAAAGCAUA